CUGUGCUGAGGCUGUCCAGCAGGAAAACUUGAAGCUUGCAGACGCGCUUGUGAAGCACGUGGGCCUACUCGCGGCUGCCCAAACCGGAGCUAUGAGGAAAGUCGCCACGUACUUCGCUGAAGCUCUGGCUCGUCGGAUUUACCGAAUAUACCCUCAGGAUUGCCUCGAUUCUUCCUACUCGGACAUUCUCCAGAUGCACUUCUACGAGACCUGCCCCUACCUGAAAUUUGCUCACUUCACUGCCAACCAGGCAAUACUCGAGGCUUUUGCCACGGCGACCAGAGUACACGUCAUCGAUUUCGGGCUUAAACAGGGGAUGCAAUGGCCAGCGCUCAUGCAGGCGCUGGCACUAAGGCCCGGUGGCCCACCCGUGUUUCGCCUGACGGGUAUUGGGCCGCCGCAGCCCGAUAACACCGACGUUCUGCAGCAGGUGGGAUGGAAGUUGGCUCAAUUGGCAGAAACUAUUGGGGUCGAGUUUGAAUUUCGAGGAUUCGUGGCCAAUAGCCUGGCUGACCUCGAGCCGUCUAUGCUUGACAUCCGUCAGGACGAGGCCGUAGCGGUGAAUUCGGUUUUCAAGCUUCACGGUCUCUUGGCUCGAGCCGGGGCGGUGGACAAAGUGUUGUCAUCAAUCAAGGCCAUGAAGCCUAAAAUUGUGACUAUUGUGGAGCAGGAGGCGAACCAUAACGGGCCGGUUUUCUUGGACCGGUUCACGGAGGCAUUGCAUUAUUAUUCAAGCUUGUUUGACUCUCUGGAGGGAUCGUCCGGGCCGAGUCAAGAUUUGGUCAUGUCCGAGGUCUAUUUGGGUAGGCAGAUAUGCAACGUGGUGGCAUGUGAAGGUGGGGACCGAGUUGAGCGACACGAGACGCUGACUCAGUGGCGAGGCCGGAUGGACUCCGCCGGGUUCGACCCAGUCCACCUCGGAUCGAACGCGUUCAAGCAGGCUAGCAUGCUGCUUGAUCUUUUCGCCGGCGUAGAUGGGUAUCGGGUGCAGGAGAACAAUGGGUCUCUCAUGCUCGGGUGGCACACGCGGCCGCUCAUAGUCACCUCGGCUUGGAAGCUGGCGAGCUCAACGGAGUGAGUGAAUGAGUCAAUUUCAGUCGGUUCAGCGGCGGUGAUUGAUUGAACCACCGGGCACCCAGUGGGGUGGUUGGACACUGUGACCAUGUGAGUUGUGAAUUGUCAGUAGAGAGAGUGGGGACUACAAUGAAAGUGAAACUGUGAAACCAAUCCAAUCGAAUCAAUCAAGUGGUGUAAACUGUGUAGUUGUAAUUGUAAUGGUAGUUUUUUAUUUUUUUUUUCAUUUUUUUUAUGGGCCCUUUUGCAUAAGUUCCAAGUUGUAGAGUCCUUUCGACAAGGGGGACGAAUGAAUCAUUGUGACGAUGUGUAACUAUCUAUCUUUUCUGGAAUAAAAUGAUGAGCAUUGAUUCUUGAAUGGGAAAGAAACCAUUUUGCUCUCUGUAAAUUUGACACAUUA
rnacentral:lncRNA from 1 species